rnacentral:rRNA from 1 species
AGAGCGAACGCUGGCGGCAGGCUUAAUACAUGCAAGUCGAGCGCCUGUAGCAAUACAGGAGCGGCAGACGGGAGAGUAACACGUGGGAACGUGCCCUUUGGUUCGGAACAACACAGGGAAACUUGUGCUAAUACCGGAUAAGCCCUUACAGGGAAAGAUUUAUUGCCAAAGGAUCGGCCCGCGUCUGAUUAGCUAGUUGGUGAGGUAAUGGCUCACCAAGGCGACGAUCAGUAGCUGGUCUGAGAGGAUGAUCAGCCUCAUUGGGACUGAGACACGGCCCAAACUCCUACGGGAGGCAGCAGUAGGGAAUAUUGGACAAUGGGCGCAAGCCUGAUCCAGCCAUGCCGCGUG